AUAAGCCCUUACGGGGAAAGAUUUAUCGCCGAAAGAUCGGCCCGCGUCUGAUUAGCUAGUUGGUGAGGUAAUGGCUCACCAAGGCGACGAUCAGUAGCUGGUCUGAGAGGAUGAUCAGCCACAUUGGGACUGAGACACGGCCCAAACUCCUACGGGAGGCAGCAGUGGGGAAUAUUGGACAAUGGGCGCAAGCCUGAUCCAGCCAUGCCGCGUGAGUGAUGAAGGCCCUAGGGUUGUAAAGCUCUUUUGUGCGGGAAGAUAAUGACGGUACCGCAAGAAUAAGCCCCGGCUAACUUCGUGCCAGCAGCCGCGGUAAUACGAAGGGGGCUAGCGUUGCUCGGAAUCACUGGGCGUAAAGGGUGCGUAGGCGGGUCUUUAAGUCAGGGGUGAAAUCCUGGAGCUCAACUCCAGAACUGCCUUUGAUACUGAAGAUCUUGAGUUCGGGAGAGGUGAGUGGAACUGCGAGUGUAGAGGUGAAAUUCGUAGAUAUUCGCAAGAACACCAGUGGCGAAGGCGGCUCACUGGCCCGAUACUGACGCUGAGGCACGAAAGCGUGGGGAGCAAACAGGAUUAGAUACCCUGGUAGUCCACGCC
rnacentral:rRNA from 1 species